rnacentral:rRNA from 1 species
AACGAACGCUGGCGGCAUGCCUAACACAUGCAAGUCGAACGAGACCUUCGGGUCUAGUGGCGCACGGGUGCGUAACGCGUGGGAACCUGCCCUUAGGUUCGGAAUAACUCCCCGAAAGGGGUGCUAAUACCGGAUAAUGUCUUCGGACCAAAGAUUUAUCGCCUUUGGAUGGGCCCGCGUUGGAUUAGCUAGUUGGUAGGGUAAAAGCCUACCAAGGCGACGAUCCAUAGCUGGUCUGAGAGGAUGAUCAGCCACACUGGGACUGAGACACGGCCCAGACUCCUACGGGAGGCAGCAGUGGGGAAUAUUAGACAAUGGGCGAAAGUCUGAUCCAGCAAUGCCGCGUGAGUGAUGAAGGCCUUAGGGUUGUAAAGCUCUUUUACCCGGGGUGAUAAUGACAGUACCGGGAGAAUAAGCUCCGGCUAACUCCGUG